AUGAACGCUGGCGGCGUGCCUAAUCCCUGCAAGUCGAGCGAACAGACGAGGAGCUUGCUCCUCUGACGUUAGCGGCGGACGGGUGAGUAACACGUGGAUAACCUACCUAUAAGACUGGGAUAACUUCGGGAAACCGGAGCUAAUACCGGAUAAUAUAUUGAACCGCAUGGUUCAAUAGUGAAAGACGGUUUUGCUGUCACUUAUAGAUGGAUCCGCGCCGCAUUAGCUAGUUGGUAAGGUAACGGCUUACCAAGGCGACGAUGGGUAGCCGACCUGAGAGGGUGGUCGGCCACACUGGAACUGAGACACGGUCCAGACUCCUACGGGAGGCAGCAGUAGGGAAUCUUCCGCAAUGGGCGAAAGCCUGACGGAGCAACGCCGCGUGAGUGAUGAAGGUCUUCGGAUCGUAAAACUCUGUUAUUAGGGAAGAACAAAUGUGUAAGUAACUAUGCACGUCUUGACGGUACCUAAUCAGAAAGCCACGGCUAACUACGUG
rnacentral:rRNA from 1 species